rnacentral:tRNA from 1 species
ACUCCGUUAGCUCAGUUGGUAGAGCAAAGGACUUUUAAUCCUUCGGUCGCUGGUUCGAGUCCAGCACGGAGUA